rnacentral:lncRNA from 1 species
GCACUUGAGUCUUCUUUUGUUCGUUUCUCUACGCUGGUCUCAUAUAGCUCGAUCCGGAAGUGGAGUAGCCCGGACUCGAACCAGCGCCCAUAUGGGAUGCCCAGCACUGCAGGUGGUGGCUUUUACACAAUCUUUUUUUUUUAAAGCUAACUUUAUUAUGGUACCGAAGAAUUUUUUGAAAUUCAUGCAGUUUUUUCUUAAGAUGCAUUUUCUGUGAACUUUAUGAAAGCCCCCCUGGACUAUGAUUUAAUUUUCCUGAUUGAAGUAGAGGCCAUGGUGUGGGGAGGAUGCAAAGGAGAAAGCUGGAAUUCGCUCUAGCUGGGAGGGAGAGAGUAAGAAAGCCCGCAGUCAGGGAUCUUAGACAGACUUGAUUUCGGUACAAUGUUUACCGUGAGAGCUUCCUGAUAAAACAGGAAAGGCAAGCACUUGUAUUUCCUUCUGCAGGACAGAGUUCCUUUUGCUGAAAUGUCCACUGAUCAUUCUGAGAAGUUGUGCAGAGGCCCAGUGGCUCUCCCAUCCGUCUGUGUCCUCAAGUAAGGCACCAGCUCAGCUCGUCCCUGUCCUCCUCUCUCCUGAAUGCUCCCAGCGCUUGGAGCACCCACCACUUCCCAGAUAUGGAAAUUGAGGACCAGAGAAACUGAUUUACUCAGAGCCAAACAGAGCCAAUUUACUCAGAGUCAAAUCUGUCCUUUUUACCCACUACACUAUCUUGUCACUACAUGGUUCAGCAACUAGAAUGCUAAAGAAUCUAAUAUUUCAAGAUACACAUGGAAGAAAUAGGAAGUAUAUUAACUUCCAAUUGUAGCUAUAACAAAUAACCACAAUUUUAUUGUCUUAAAUGACACAAAUUUAUUAUCUAUAAGGAUUCUCACUGUCACCACUUUUAUUCAACAUAUUACUUAGCUAGAGCAAUCAGGCAGGAGAAAGAAAUAGGAGGGCAUCUGAAUUGAAAAGAAGACAUAUUGUCACUGCUUGCAUAUGGCAAUAUAUUAUAUAUAGGAAACUCCAAAGACUCCCCCAAAUAAAACUAAUAAACUAAUAAAUUAAUUCA